rnacentral:tRNA from 1 species
GGGGAUUUAGCUCAGUGGUAGAGCACUUGCUUAGCAAGCACAAGGCCCUGGGUUCAGUCCUCA